GCCAGGCAUGGUGGUGCAUGCCUGUAAUCCCAGAUACUUGGGAGGCUGAGGCAGGGGAAUCACUUGAACCCAGGAGGCAGAGAUUGCAGUGAGCCAAGAUUGUGCCACUGUACUCCAGCCUGGGCGACAGAGUGAGACUCCGUCUCAA
rnacentral:SRP_RNA from 1 species